rnacentral:lncRNA from 1 species
CUUCUAACACAAUUUCUCAAGGCAUUCCCCAGAUGAAACACUACAAAUACCUCGGGACAUUCCCCGGCCAAAUGGUACAAUUGAUCCAAAAGCAAUAAAACCAAACCAUUCCACACACAUUUUCAAGCAUUCCAUCAAUUCACCAUUCCUAAAUUUGCCUACCCGAACCUACCAUUUGCCUACACAACUCGACCUAUUAUGAUACUAUCAUAUUGAACGAAAUAAAAAUUAUUCAACUAACAAAUUAAAUAUUCCAAAUAAGAUUAUGAAUCAGCCAACUUUCAAUAUCAUCCCCACAAUUAAGAUUUACCCUCUAAAUUAAGCUCUACUUCUUUGAUUAUCCAAUUCACACCAUCAAUCAAUAUCAACAAUCAACUGCGAUGAUAUAAAACAUAUCAAAAUUAACGUAAACAAAAUUCACACUCCAAAAAAUUUACCACAUGAAGUGUCAAAUAAUUAAUUGAUGGAGAAUGAGAUGAUGAGUGGACCUUAAUGCCGCUUUUAUUCAAGUAUUACUCAAUUAAAUGAGAUGGAAUCCAGACCGAGAACCUCAAAUUGAACCUCAAUGAUGAACCAUAAAUUGACAAGAUCAAGAUAAAUAGGGAAACUUCAACAGGAAGCCCAAAUCACCAAUUUCAGAGGGAAGCUCAUAUGGGUUGUCGAAAUCCGAAUGGGAUUGGGUGAUUUUACCUAGCCGCCAUUUUCCGGUGGAGAUUUCGGAAACAAUCUCAUCAAAGGAACUCCUACGCGCCCCACCUCUCUCUUGUCUCUUUCUCUCUCAAUUUCUUUCAAAUUCCCGCUAUUUUUGUACUGUUUUAUCUCCUUUGUCUGUGCGACUGUGUUACUGUGUGUGUAUAUUGGAAAUAUGGAGUUUUUCCGGUUGGUGUGAUGUUUUUCCAGUGAAGGUAUGAAUGUGUAGUGGAGUGUGUGCUACUGUGAUCUCUGAGGCGUGUGAAUAUUAAGGGGAAUUGUAAGUUUCCAGUGAGUGCCUGUGAAGGGAAUCUGUGUGUUGUGUAUUAUAUUGUUAUGGUUUCCUCGUUAGUGAAAAUGAAAAACAGCAUCAUAUGUGUGUUACUGGUAUGUAAUUGUCAUUGUGAUUCUGGUGUGUGUGGAAUUUUGUGAGUAUUGUAUGUGUAUUCUUGAAGAAGAUGGUUAGUUUUUUUUGUGUUAAUGGAUUGGAAAAAAAUGAAAUAUUCAAGUGGGGCCCCUCUAUUUUUUUGUGUGUCCCCCUUUUUGUAAUGUGAGUUGUGUGUGUAUUUGUUAGUGAAAUGGGGAAAAAAAACGUGUCAAUGGUGGGUGAGGUGUAUGGGCAUGGGGCUAGGGGGGUUGGGUAGUGGUGAGGUAUAAAAAUUAAUUAGGAUAAGGGAAUAUUAGAGAUUAGAGAUUUAAUUUAUUAGAAUUUGUUGUAUUUAUUUUCUUGUGAGGAAAGUGUAGAAUGGGGUGAGGGUACAUGGUAAGGUGAGGUAAAAAAUGAAUAAAUUGGAUUUUUGAGAGGGACAAAAUUAGGUAUCUACAAUAAUAUAUGGCUAGAUAAGAACCACAUGGUAUUGAUAAUUUAUGGAUACGGCAAUAUGAUGCUUAGGUUGAACCA